CCUACGGGUGGCAGCAGUGGGGAAUAUUGCACAAUGGGGGAAACCCUGAUGCAGCAACGCCGCGUGAGUGAAGACGGUUUUCGGAUCGUAAAACUCUGUUCUCAGUGAAGAAUAAUGACGGUAGCUAAGGAGCAAGCCACGGCGAACUACGUCCCAGCAGCCGCGGUAAUACGUAGGUGGCAAGCGUUGUCCGGAAUUACUGGGUGUAAAGGGAGCGCAGGCGGGAUGGCAAGUCAGCUGUGAAAACUACGGGCUUAACUUGUAGACUGCAUUUGAAAUUGGUUUUCUUGAGUGCAGGAGAGGUUGGCGGAAGUCCGAGUGUAGCGGUGAAAUGCGUAGAUAUUCGGAGGAACACCAGUGGCGGAGGCGGCCAACUGGGCUUUAACUGACGCUGAGGCUCGAAAGUGUGGGGAGCAAACAGGAUUAGAUACCCGAGUAGUC
rnacentral:rRNA from 1 species